UGAGAGCACCUACAUAUGUAAAGAAUGU
rnacentral:piRNA from 1 species